rnacentral:rRNA from 1 species
ACCUGGUUGAUCCUGCCAGUAGUCAUAUGCUUGUCUCAAAGAUUAAGCCAUGCAUGUCUCAGUAUAAGUUGUUCUACUGCAAAACUGCGAAUGGCUCAUUAAAACAGUUAUUGUUUACAAGAUGGUUUUUCAUUAUAUGGAUACCUAUGGUAAUUCUAGAGCUAAUACAUGCUUGCAUACCCAACUUAUUGGACGGGUUGUGCUUAUUAGAUACCGAGCUGGCCCAGGUUUCCUGGACAAAGUUGAUUCAUAGUACUUGAGCGAAUCGCAAUUUUGCGAUGAGUUUUUCAAGUUUCUGACCUAUCAGCUUCCGACGGUAGGGUAUUGGCCUACCGUGGCUUUGACGGGUAACGGGGAAUUAGGGUUCGAUUCCGGAGAGGGAGCCUGAGAAACGGCUACCACAUCUAAGGAAGGCAGCAGGCGCGUAAAUUACCCAAUCCUGAUACAGGGAGGUAGUGACAAGAAAUACCAAUACAAGGCUUUCAUGUUUUGUAAUUGGGAUGAGUGGAAUUUAAACCGCAUCACGAGUAUCAAUUGGAGGGCAAGUCUGGUGCCAGCAGCCGCGGUAAUUCCAGCUCCAAUAGCGUAUAUUAAAAUUGUUGCGGUUAAAACGCUCGUAGUUGAAUAUCUGCUUAGUACCCCCGGUCCACCCGAGUGGUGUGUACUCGGUCUGUGCUUAGCAUUUUUCUGGGGAACGCGUUCGCACUUCAUUGUGUGGCGCUUGAUCUGGUACUUUUACUUUGAGGAAAUGAGAGUGUUUCAAGCAGGCAGUUUGUUUUGAAUACGUUAGCAUGGAAUAAUAACGUGGGACUUCGUUCUAGAGUUGUUGGUUUUUGGAGCGAUGGAAUGAAAAUAGGGGUAGCUGGGGGCAUUCGUAUUUAACUGUCAGAGGUGAAAUUCUUGGAUUUUUUAAAGACGAACUACUGCGAAAGCAUCUGCCCAGGAUGCUUUUAUUAAUCAAGAACGAAAGUUAGGGGAUCGAGACGAUCAGAUACCGUCCUAGUCUUAACCAUAAACUAUGCCGACUAGAAAUGGGAGUCGUCAGAUUUUUGACGACUUCAGCAAUUUGAGAGAAAUCAAAGUCUUUGGGUUCCGGGGGGAGUAUGGUCGCAAGGCUGAAACUUAAA